ACGGGGCCCGCACAAGCGGUGGAGCAUGUGGUUUAAUUCGAAGCAACGCGAAGAACCUUACCAGGUCUUGACAUCCCCUGACAACCCGAGAGAUCGGGCGUUCCCCUUCGGGGGGACAGGGUGACAGGUGGUGCAUGGUUGUCGUCAGCUCGUGUCGUGAGAUGUUGGGUUAAGUCCCGCAACGAGCGCAACCCUCGACCUUAGUUGCCAGCAUUCAGUUGGGCACUCUAAGGUGACUGCCGGCUAAAAGUCGGAGGAAGGUGGGGAUGACGUCAAAUCAUCAUGCCCCUUAUGACCUGGGCUACACACGUGCUACAAUGGGCGGUACAAAGGGUCGCGAACCCGCGAGGGGGAGCCAAUCCCAAAAAGCCGCUCUCAGUUCGGAUUGCAGGCUGCAACUCGCCUGCAUGAAGCCGGAAUCGCUAGUAAUCGCGGAUCAGCAUGCCGCGGUCGAAUACGUUCCCGGGCCUU
rnacentral:rRNA from 1 species